CUCUGUUCCAAGAAUUCUACUCUUUUACAGAGCAUCUUUUUGAGUGUCCUGGUUUUAAUUGGAUUUGGAUCUCCACAUCGUUGGUGGAAGAAGGCUAUCAGAAUGGCUUCAAAAUUUGCGACCACAAUUGGCGACGUACGAAGGGACAAGGAAUUAAGGUGAUUGCUGGGAGCCUUGGGGAAUGCCAAAGCCUUGCACAUCAGAGAACACCAAGCGGCCGCUAUAAUAAGUUACAGUGUGAAGAGGUAGAGUUUGAAGCACUGAGGAGGGACAUGCAGUCUGACCGGGCACUUGGCAACCAAAAGGAAAGAGAAGAACAUUCCAUUGGUAUGGGGCAAACUGGGAAGAUUAAGGUAAGGCAGAGUUGAGUCAGCAUGAUUAAACCUUCAUAGGUGAGCAACUACUGACCUAGUAAAAUCCAAAUUUACAAACUGUUGAAGUAGACCUUUAACCCUGCAACUAGAACUGCUUGUUUUUCAGGAGGUCUCAAUGUUCCUCAUGGCCAUCCAGGUGUAUUGUAAACAUAACACCAGUUACAUGUAUUAUUUACGGUUCAUAAUUUACUAUCACUCAAGUUAAGGAAAAUGGGGUGUGAAGUAAUUGUCUGCCUCAGAGUCCACCACCAAAAUGUGUAACAAGAUUACAGUUAGGGAAUUUCUUAUGAUUACUGUCUAUAAACAAUCCAUGCAUGGCUGAGAAAAGUUUUUUAUUAGUCUAAUACAGCUGUUUUAGCUUUUCAAUGGCGACUUUUCUAUAAGAACAAAGGCUGUCAAGCUGUAUAUUAUUCAACUCAAGGUUGAACAGGUAUGAAAUUAUGAUGCCAGUCAUUUAAGGGCACUUUAUUAUCCAAGGAUAAACUGCAAAAAUAAAACAUUACAAAACGAUUAUUUAUCUGACCCCCUUUUAGCAAGAAACUUGGAGAGGAGGAACUCCGUUUUUAACAGGAAUAAAUGCCCAGUAGAACUGGGCACAGGGGGGAGUGGUCAUCUGCUGUGACCAGCUGAGUAAGGAGGAGGAGACAGGACUAAAAACAUGCUGUGUAGGAGAGCCAGAGAUUGAUAAUAACUAAUAAUAACUCAAAAGAGAGACCUAAAAACCGGAGGCCUGGCUUCCCAUUCUACUUUUAAAUAUUCUAGUAAGCUUAAAGUUUGAGAGUGAAGUGGGGAGAUACAGUACUAUAGGAGCAGGAUGGUAAUUAAAAAAACAGAUUUAACAAGGAGCCUAUGAAGAAAAGUCAAUAGGAGAAAUAUACUCUGUCAUUCUAGUCCCUUUCAGUAUUCAUGUGCAACAUUUUGAUGUAGUUGACCACAACCUGAUAAUGAUAAAAGGACAGCCUAGAAGUAAUAAAUGCAUGAAUUUGUCUUUCAGCAUCACUCUGGGACAGGACUUUAGAGAUAUUGCAGAAAUUGAAGAAAGCAGUCCUUAAUAUUCGCAUAUUAGCACAUAUUGGGAUAAAAAUAACUCAUGGAAACCUCACAGUGUUAAUGGAGACCAAGGUAAUGCCAUUCAGAGCAUUCCUUUAGGUUGACUGACAGGUGUGUGGUGUUUGGCUUCAUGGAUGAAUGAGAGAGAGGGUGUCAUCAGCACGGCAGAGGUAUGUUGUGUCUUUUGUGGUGUUACCUGAAGGAGGCACGUGUUAUGUAAAUAGAAAUAGAUCCUGGUGCGAAACCUUGUGAAGCUCAAUGGUUAGUCUUGUGUAUGUGGGAGGAUUCUUAGAAUAACAUGUUAUGGUCACAAGUGUCGAACAUAGAGAUCAAUCCACUGUCAGAGGCCUUAAGAAGAUCAUUUUUAACUUUCAUCAAAGCUGUUUCUGUGCUGUGAUGUGCUCUGAAACCUGACUGAAACUCUUUAAAUAAGGCAUUCCUCUGUGGCUAUUUUACAGCAUCUCUUGUGGGGAUUUUUGACAUAAAGGAAAGUUGGAGGCCUAUAAUUGGCUAGGACAGUUAGGUCAAGUGAUGGUUUUUGAGUGAUGGUUUAACUACUGCCAAUAGGAAGAACUGUGUGGUCAAUGUGGCAUUGUCUAACUUAGCUUUGAAAAUUCCAAUUCGGCGGCUAUAGAGGUGUGGGAAGUUUGAUCAGCCAUAUAGCCAGCAACGCUAAGUUUUGGGCUAACAGUGCUAAUGAUGAAUUGUGAAUUGGCAGCCGGUAACAGAGUUAAUGUUUAUCCAAAUUCAGCUUAUAAAUAUGAAGAGGCAAUAACCCAGCUAGUAGUCGCCCUAAAGCUCACUAGUCCUGUGGCUGUGAUUAGAUGUCUUGAUCACCAGAAAACAGACACAUUAAUACCUAAAUGAAACAACAUGUUAGAGCUUUACUAUGCACUUCCUAAAUUGAUAGCUAGGUAAAGAUAAGUAAAGCUUUCUGUUUAUAACAGCAUUUGAGACAAACAUUUCAAAGUACUCCACAAAAUAAAGCAAUGAAUUGGAAUUUGUUAAGGAAGAGGUCAACUGGGUACAAAUAUUAACUCUAGUACUAAGGUGCAUGCAGUUGUGAACUAACAAGACUACAACAACUAACACUGCAUGGCAUACUCACAAAUGUCCAUAGAUAAGUCCUCAUAAAGGGCCUGUAUUGCUAACUGUGAACAAAACUAAUGCAGUCUGCGAAGUUAUCUUUCUGCAGGUGGAGAUGGCAUCUGGAUAACAGAUGGAGAUGCAGAGGUCCUGGAGCAGGUGCUGGCAAUCUGAUGACGAGUGCGAGGGGACAACGGAGUGAAACAGGCUGCUCCAGACAGCUGAACCAUGACCCAUCCAGUAGCUGUUGAAUCUGCUGCAGAGCCUACAGCCCAGGUGGAGCCGUACAGUGCCCAAACCAGCUUCCGAAUGAUGGAUGUGCAAGAUCAACUACUACCCAUCGCCAACCCUGACUUUAAUCAAGAGUAGAACCAAGUCGUCUCGAGUAUUCUUAGAAGGUAUGCAAGAUCCAGCAGUCAAGAAGUACCAAGAGAGACUUUUCUCGGACUCAUAAAUUGGUUGAAAUAUGGACUGAAAAAGGGACACAAGUUGAGUAAAGGUUGAAGCUGCUGCAGAGAAAUGUCAACCUUGAAGCUAACAAAGGACAUUUCAAAGCCCACACUGAGAAGUCUGUUCAGAAGAAGUUGCACCUGACCAAGAUGAAAUCCAAAAUUGGGAAUUAAUUGUUUAAUCGUGUUAUUUUUAAUGUCACUUAUGGUGUUGUGUAAUCCAUGUAUGUAUUAUGUGUCUCUGCUGAUGUGUUUUAUGCCUUACUUUCAUUUUCCUGUAAUUAGGCUGAUUUUUAAGUUUCUUGAGUAUUCUGUUAAGGAUACUGUGUAGUAUGAUUUGCAAAUGAAGAUGAAUCAAUUUGUCUUAAA